ACGACUNUCGGCAACGGAUAUCUCGGCUCACGCAUCGAUGAAGAACGUAGCAAAAUGCGAUACUUGGUGUGAAUUGCAGAAUCCCGUGAACCAUCGAGUUUUUGAACGCAAGUUGCGCCCAAAGCCAUUUGGUUGAGGGCACGUCUGCCUGGGCGUCACGC
rnacentral:rRNA from 1 species